rnacentral:sRNA from 1 species
GCCAGGUGUGGUGGCACACACCUGUAUUCCCAGCUACUCAGGAGGCUGAGGCAGGAGAAUUGCAAGUUUGAGGUUAGCCUGGGCAACUUAGUGGGAUCCUGUUUCAA